rnacentral:rRNA from 1 species
GUGUCAGCCGCCGCGGUAAGACAGAGGUGCCAAGCGUUAGGCGGAAUCACUGGGCUUAAAGCGUGUGUAGGUGGAUUUGUAAGUACCUUGUGAAAUCCCAUGGCUCAACCAUGGAACUGCUCGGUAUACUGCGAAUCUUGAGCCACUUAGGGGCUACCGGAACAAAUGGUGGAGCGGUGAAAUGCGUAGAUAUCAUUUGGAACGCCAAUGGUGAAAACAGGUAGCUGGGAGUGUGCUGACACUGAGACACGAAAGCCAGGGGAGCGAACGGGAUUAGAUACCCGCGUAGUCC